UAUAAUGUUAUACUAGAUAAGUUUAGGGACGGUUGUCAAAAUUUAUCCGCUAAUAUUACUGACACAACCACAUAAGUAAGCAAUGUUCUUCCAACGCAAAGAUUUCUAACAAUUUUUCUUCCAAUAUUAAUCAACAAUCCAUCAUCUGUUUUAAUGUUUUUAUCUACAGCCUUUGCAGUUGCACAAUUGAAGUUGUAACUAAAUGUUAGUGAUAUUUUUUAUUUAAAUAUGAUAUUGUCAUAAGAACUUGGCAAAAGAUGCAGAGGUGCACAAUUAGAAUUAACAUCAUCAGUUAUAACAGAAGGGCUAGGAAGACAAAAGUCACACAAG
rnacentral:misc_RNA from 1 species